GACGAACGCUGGCGGCGUGCUUAACACAUGCAAGUCGAACGGAAAGGCCCUGCUUUUGUGGGGUGCUCGAGUGGCGAACGGGUGAGUAACACGUGAGUAACCUGCCCUUGACUUUGGGAUAACUUCAGGAAACUGGGGCUAAUACCGGAUAGGAGCUCCUGCUGCAUGGUGGGGGUUGGAAAGUUUCGGCGGUUGGGGAUGGACUCGCGGCUUAUCAGCUUGUUGGUGGGGUAGUGGCUUACCAAGGCUUUGACGGGUAGCCGGCCUGAGAGGGUGACCGGCCACAUUGGUCCUGCGGUACGGCCCAGACUCCUACGGGGGGCAGCAGUGGGGAAUAUUGCACAAUGGGCCGAAGCCUGAUGCAGCAACGCCGCGUGCGGGAUGCCGGCCUUCGGGUUGUAAACCGCUUUCGCCUGUGACGAAGCGUGAGUGACGGUAAUGGGUAAAGAAGCACCGGCUAACUACGUG
rnacentral:rRNA from 1 species